rnacentral:rRNA from 1 species
UGGGGAAUAUUGCACAAUGGGCGCAAGCCUGAUGCAGCCAUGCCGCGUGUAUGAAGAAGGCCUUCGGGUUGUAAAGUACUUUCAGCGGGGAGGAAGGGAGUAAAGUUAAUACCUUUGCUCAUUGACGUUACUCGCAGAAGAAGCACCGGCUAACUCCGUGCCAGCAGCCGCGGUAAUACGGAGGGUGCAAGCGUUAAUCGGAAUUACUGGGCGUAAAGCGCACGCAGGCGGUUUGUUAAGUCAGAUGUGAAAUCCCCGGGCUCAACCUGGGAACUGCAUCUGAUACUGGCAAGCUUGAGUCUCGUAGAGGGGGGUAGAAUUCCAGGUGUAGCGGUGAAAUGCGUAGAGAUCUGGAGGAAUACCGGUGGCGAAGGCGGCCCCCUGGACGAAGACUGACGCUCAGGUGCGAAAGCGUGGGGAGCAAACAGG